GAUAUUAAAAUGGGCGCGGUGCUCUGGAUAUGUUUGGUUUUUGCUGUGAAUAUGCUGCUAGCGCGAGCCCAGUAUAUAUGUAACUGCGGCCCGGAGUCAGUAGGCUGCCAACCGUACCCGAUCGUAGUGAGGUCCAAUAAAAACAAUAAUGGUUUGAAGCAGCUUUUGCCAAUUCUCCUGCUUCUUCUCUUUGAUGGUGGCUUCGGCGGGUUAGGCGGAUAUGGAUGUAGCGGAGGUUGCGGAAAUAGAGAUUGUGGAGGCUGCUGUGGAAAUACCAUACCCAUAGCCUACCCUAUUCCAGUUAAUAAUCAAAUGUUCUGGUACUAAUGUCAUUAUGUAUCCGCUCUUUUACACGGAAUUAAUUGGUUUGCUAUCAAUUUUAAAAACCAUUUUCAUUUUAUACCGUCACUUUCCAAAUAAUUAAUAAAUCGAAACGAAUUAUCUGUGAAGAAAAUUUAUUUCGUUAUUCCUAAUAAGCCUCUACUUAUCUGAACGAAGAGCACUUAAAAGUAUACUAAUAAUAAGUGUACAAAUACUAUGAAUAAAAUACAUGAUACACC